AAGAUACUAGUAAAACGAACAUAACAUUGCCUUGUCAAGACAAAAUUGUAGGUUGAAAUCCUGCGUAUCUUA
rnacentral:tRNA from 2 species